UAGUGUGGUGUUGUCAUCAGCUUUCUAGCCCCUCCCUCUCUACUGCGAUGACACAUCCUCAUCUGAUGUCUCAGGAGCUGUGGCCGGAUCUGGUCUCUGAGCUCAAGCCCCACCCACUGAGUGAUGUCACCACCUCUCACCAGCCCCUACAGCCUACAUGAUCACCCCCUGUCAUAUACGAAUACAGUAUAUGUUUUUCAGGCAAGUGAGGAAUAAGGUGUGUUUACUGCAUGCUGCCUAAUGAUAAACGAUGCCAGGCAGGAAAAGACGGUUAAUGAAUACAGCAGGUGCUGCACCAUUACUGAUUGUGUAAUAGUCUUCUGUGCAACAGAUCUGGGCAGGAGUGGUGUGAGUGGGGAGCAGGCAAAGAAAGGAGGACUAUGAACAAGAGCUGAAGGACAGCAAUGCAUUCUGGGAAUUGCAGUACGACCGGCAAAUACAGGAUUUUAACCCCUAAAUCAAUUGGAUUUUGGGUGAUUUCAGGACUGCGGAAGGCAGGAAACUACAGUACGAAUGUUCUCAACGGCAUCAAUGGCCACCUAUGGUGAAACGCAAACGUGAACAGAAAUAUACUGAAUUAAUAAGUAGCACAUUUACAACAGCGAUGAAAUAUUAUGGAACAGAACAUAAUAGUAACUAUUUGCAGAGACAUAACUUAAGGCUCCUAGGACCCAUUACCAAUUCUGAAAUUGCAGCGGUAACAGUCCGGAGCGGCGGGGACACAAAAGCCUUCAUGGAGGACCAGCGUGGUCCCGUACCAGAAUGCUAGCGCAUAGGAGGAGUAUAGUGAGAAGAAUGCAAACCCAAAGGAAACAUUUGUUGUGAUGGUCUUUUUGAUUCCUAUGCUCUUGGCAUGUUCCAAAUUCUUUUCAUAUCUAAAAUAUAACCAAUAUAAAAUAUCAUACUAAAUGUGAAAUGGACUAUUAGACCUCAAGUCCUACCCAGCCAUUCUGCAAGUGAUCCCCCGUACAGUGGAAAGUCAAGCCCUGGCGGAGAAAGCAACUGGACCUUGUCAGAACCCAAGCCGGCCUGGAGAAUCUUCAGUCUCAUAUCAAGCAUUUUUCAGCUCUUUUGGGCUCAGAGGCUGUUACCCAGAGAACCCCAGUGACCAUAUUGACCUCCCAAGUGACCUACGGGCUCCUUGCACAGCCCCCCUAUAUAAUAUGGGGAGGGUCUGUUAUUUUUCUCUUCUCUCUGGAGUUCCUGCUGAGGUCCAGUGCAGUCAUCUCAGUCCCUGUGUCCGGCCAUUGGAGGCCUCAAGUCUAAAUUACUGCCGCUACCAGUCGGUCCUGAGUGAGUCAAGUCAUCUCAAUUGUCUGUCACCAUCUCAAGUCAAGUCACCUAUAGUCACCGUGGCCUGCAUUAUAGUCUGUCAAGUCACUGCAAGUCCCAGCAAGCCUGCGAGGUCUCCCUGUGUCAUUGGCCACCUCUCUGGGAUAUUGGCUGAACUGUAUAGACUGUAUCAUCUGUCUAACCUCAGUAAAGAUACCGUUACCCUUAACCUGGCCUUGGACUCUUUAUUGGGCCUGCCUAACCUAGGAUUAGCGGUACUACCUUCGAGUGGUUAUAAGACCAAACCGCGCUCUGGCAUCACGACAAGAAGGGGUUCAUACUAUCUACCCCUGGAGCAAUAACAUCUGCCCCCCUUACACCUCACAUCACACCCCAUGGCGCACAACAGAAAAAAUUGUAUUUAAUGAAAUUUUUAUUAAUUUUUAAACAGUAUUUUAAAAUCUCUGGGCGGGCAGAGAACUAAACAUCAAGCUGGCAGUAUAAAAAUGUAAA